CAACUGUUGGCAAUGUGUGCUCU
rnacentral:miRNA from 1 species